AUUGAACGCUGGCGGCAUGCCUUACACAUGCAAGUCGAACGGUAACAGGUCUUCGGAUGCUGACGAGUGGCGAACGGGUGAGUAAUACAUCGGAACGUGCCCAGACGUGGGGGAUAACGAGGCGAAAGCUUUGCUAAUACCGCAUACGAUCUAAGGAUGAAAGCAGGGGACCGCAAGGCCUUGCGCGUUUGGAGCGGCCGAUGGCAGAUUAGGUAGGUGGUGGGAUAAAAGCUUACCAAGCCGACGAUCUGUAGCUGGUCUGAGAGGACGACCAGCCACACUGAGACUGAGAAACGGCCCAGACUCCUACGGGAGGCAGCAGUGGGGAAUUUUGGACAAUGGGCGAAAGCCUGAUCCAGCAAUGCCGCGUGCAGGAUGAAGGCCUUCGGGUUGUAAACUGCUUUUGUACGGAACGAAAAGGCUCUGGCUAAUACCUGGGGCACAUGACGGUACCGUAAGAAUAAGCACCGGCUAACUACGUG
rnacentral:rRNA from 1 species